rnacentral:rRNA from 1 species
UACGAAGGGGGCUAGCGUUGCUCGGAAUCACUGGGCGUAAAGCGCACGUAGGCGGCUUGCUAAGUCAGGGGUGAAAUCCUGGAGCUCAACCCCAGAACUGCCUUUGAUACUGGAAAGCUUGAGUCCGGGAGAGGUGAGUGGAACUGCGAGUGUAGAGGUGAAAUUCGUAGAUAUUCGCAAGAACACCAGUGGCGAAGGCGGCUCACUGGCCCGGUACUGACGCUGAGGUGCGAAAGCGUGGGGAGCAAACAGG